ACCUUGGGAGCCCUGUUAGACUCUGGAUUUUAAACUUGGAGUGAACGGGCGCCAUCCCGAGGC
rnacentral:precursor_RNA from 1 species